GCUGAAACCUUUCUCCCCCGCGCGUCCUUCUCUUCUUCCCCGCUGAACCACCUGUGCCCUAACCGCCACAAGACCGUUUCUUCCCCUCUUCUUACCACCGGCCAAGUUUCUCCCUCUCCUUCCCUUCCUCUCAGCGCGAUCACCUUUCGGCUCCUCCACCGUCGACGCCGUUCCUCCUCAGCCUAGCGCCGACAGCCGGUUGUUUUUCCUGUGCCGACACUUCACCUCUUCCUGCGUCGCCAUCUGAUUGUUGUCGCUAGCCGACCGCCACGAGAGCACCGCUAGCUCCUCCUCUUGGCCCAUUGUCGGUCGCCAGCGCCUACCGCCUACUGUCGGUGACGCAGCCGAGCACCCACAUGUGUUGGGCGUGCCCUAGGUGUCAACCUCUUCUGAUCUCUGUGUGCCAACGCCAAAGCCGCCGCAACCCUUUUCUUCUCCCGAACUGAUCUUCUGCCCUAGCAUCGGCAACGAAGCCUUAUUCCUCUAUUCUUCUUGCUGCCGACGCCAUUGGAGCCCUAGACUUCCACCACUGCAUGUGGGAGUUGCUGGAGAGAUUAUUCGGUUGCUGAUCACCAGAGGGGACCGAGCCUCCUCCAAGUCCUAGUCUCAUCCUCUGUUAAAUCUCUGGCAGAGAGGAAGAGCUUGACAUCAUUGCAAGUAAAGCAUGUUUGGGUCAAGAUUGGAGAGGAAUUCAGAGGGAGGUUUGCUGUGGUGUUCUUGUCUAGCUGUUUACCCUAGAUUCAAGCAGCCGACAGCCACCUUCCAACAACAAACAACUCUAACAUUGCAACCACUCCCAUCCAGCUUCCCUUGUUCCAGCAUUAACAGGGGCUGUGAGAUUGAGGACGUUGAUUCGGGACGAGCACUUCGACAUAGAUGUUGAUUAGCUCGAUCUACAUUGGAGGCGGGUACCUUGACUUAUCUU